rnacentral:rRNA from 1 species
GAUGAACGCUAGCGGCAGGCCUAAUACAUGCAAGUCGAACGGUGUCUUCGGACAUAGUGGCGCACGGGUGCGUAACACGUAUGCAACCUACCUUACAUUGGGGGAUAGCCUUUCGAAAGGGAGAUUAAUACCGCAUAAGACAGUAGCUGGGCAUCCAGCAGCUGUUAAAGAUUUAUCGAUGUAAGCUGGGCAUGCGUCCAAUUAGCUAGUUGGUGAGGUAACGGCUCACCAAGGCAAUGAUUGGUAGGGGAACUGAGAGGUCAAUCCCCCACACUGGCACUGAGAUACGGGCCAGACUCCGACGGGAGGCAGCAGUAGGGAAUAUUGGGCAAUGGACGCAAGUCUGACCCAGCCAUGCCGCGUGCAGGAUGAAGGCGUUAUGCGUUGUAAACUGCUUUUAUACAGGAAGAAACGACUCUUGCGAGAGGCAUUGACGGUACUGUAUGAAUAAGCACCGGCUAACUCCGUGCCAGCCGCCGCAGUAAGAC